AAGAGAAGAAAAGAAACAAAGGAGUGACAGGAAGGAAGGGAGGAAGGAAAGAAAGCAAAAAGGAGGAGAGAAAGCAGCUUUCAGAAACAGGCCUGGGAGCCCAGUGCGGGGACACAGGACGACUUGAUGCUGUGCGGCGCUGCGGCCCAGCUCACCCGGAGCUUCCGGUCUGGGCAGUAAGGAUGCAGCGGUCACCGGGACUCAAGGCCAGCGCACGGCAGUGACAGAGGACAGACUUGCAGCACGCAGUUCCCAGAAGCCCGCUGUGGGACCAGCCUCGCCCUGUGAGGGACACGGCCUUCCCUGCUUUCCCACCAGCUGUACGGUGGCCCCCAGGGAGGACAACUCGAUGCUGUGCGGCGCCUCGGCCCACCUCACCCGGACCUUCUCGUCCAGGUGGGAGGACACAGCGGUCAUCGGGACUCACGGCCAGUGCACGAGAUUGACUGAGGACAGACCUGCAGUGCCCCUCCCCCACGGCUCGCACUCCGGCUGUCCCUGUCUUCUGGGGUCACCCUGAUGCCUCCUCACCUGCCUGUCUGCACCCACCUUCCACGCCACCUUCCUGAGCCCCACUCCUGAGGCCACCUGCCACCAGCCUGCAUGUCUGCGGCACGCUGCUGAACCCACACCCCUGACAGCCUGGUUUCUGAGGUCAAGCCCUGCACCAGGCUCUGCACUGACAGUGUGGAGCCUGCUUGGGAUGCUCUCUCCUUCUCCCUCUCUG